UACAGAGGGUGCAAGCGUUGUUCGGAAUUAUUGGGCGUAAAGGGUGCGUAGGCGGUUUGGUAAGUCUUGUGUGAAAUCUACAGGCUCAACUUGUAGUCUGCACGAGAAACUGCCGGGCUUGAGUGUGGGAGAGGUGAGUGGAAUUCCUGGUGUAGCGGUGAAAUGCGUAGAUAUCAGGAGGAACACCUGUGGCGAAAAGCGGCUCACUGGACCAAUAACUG
rnacentral:rRNA from 1 species